CAGGCGGGGCCUGGAAGGGUCUGAGCCCAAGGACGGCUUCCAUGUGGAGAUAAGGACCAGGCAGGGGCAGUCAUGGGAGAAACGACUCAAACAGGAGCGGUGUGAGGCCUGUCCCCGAAAGGAACCAGGGCAUUUGGGCAGUGGGGGUGGGGAGGUGAUAAAUCAUCAUCACCAGCCAGAUUUCACCUAGAAACAGCGCGUGCACCCCUAUCAUUUACAGCGGCUUCCCUAGACCUCGGCUGUCUGGGAAGGGGUUUCUGGGUGAAGGUUGUCCACGGAUGGGGAACUCCGUGGGCAGCGCAGUCUCCCGUGGACCUGCACGCGGAAGGGGGGACGUCGCGGGGCGGGGACGGCUGACCUGAGACACAGACUAUGGAGAACAGCCUCAGAUUCCAGUAAGAAACUGUCCACUGAAGGUGGCAAUAUGAAACUCUCGUGGAAGGUAUUGUUUUUGUUUUUGAUCAUAAUCUUUAAAAAUAUUGAUGACUCCCCUUCAGCUUUGGGUCUAAUCUGACCCCAAGAUCCUUUAUUGUCUUGUGUGUCUAAUCAAUCUUUUCCUAUUUUGAGUCAUAGGCCUUGAUUUUAUGGGAAACAAGAGAAGAUUGAGGAGAAAGAAAGGGCCCCCAAACUGUAAGGAAUAAAAUAGGAAGUGCUGACAUAGAAAUUAAAGGCUCCCUAAUUCUGUGCA